CGCAACACUUUGUUGAGAUAUUCUCCGAGCGCCCAAAUCGGGAAGAUGUUUCUGUAAGCCGAGUAGCUGAUCGUGCAGUUCUUGUUGAAUACGCCGACGAUUUCCUGCAAAGAUGAACCAAAUUCACUCAACCCAGGAUAUAUGUUGGCUAGAAUGUCCUCUGCGCGAUAUCCGGGAUGCAACUUGUUGAAUAGACUCAGGCCCUGAAUGGCUGAGGACGUGCACUCGACGUUCUGGUAGUCGAUCAUGAUGUCUGUGAACAUCUCCGAAGGAUUGAUCAUCUGUUGAUGGAUUCAUUCGAAUUCUCAUCAGUCGAAGAGCUUGUUUUAUAUAGUUUUGAUUUAUGUGGUUUACCUCCAACCAGGCGUAGGAUCUUGUGAGCUCGUACGAUGCGAAUCCUCCGCUGCUAUUCUACGACAAAUAAAAAAGGAUGAUGUCCCGUUGAGGCUGUCGGAGAAAAUGAACGUAAGAUUCGAUUGUUACCUGAAACGAUAGAAGCAAGUCGACUGCGUCGUGCAGCCUAUCCGGCGCUAGUGCUUCUCCUACAACCUCAGACGGUAAUUGCGACAGAAGAAGUGCUGCCUUUAGACCUUCUGCCGUACAGUCGGAAACAACCCAUCCUUGAUCUGCAGUCGAAAACGACCAUCCGCCUUUCGAUCUAUGGCGAUACCAAGAGCUCGGGUUCCCGGAACUGUCUUUUCCAAUCUUCAUAGUCGAAACACGUUAUGAGCCCGUUCGAUCGUCGGACCAUAUUCGUUCUGCAGUUUAGUAGCGAGCAUUGCCGGGACAGUGAAAACGACGUCCCACAGCUGACUCCCGUUAUAUGAUUGCAUCUUCAUGCCGUCUUCGGCCAGCCAUAAAUAGUCCUUUAUUCUCGAAAGGUGUCGCGUCACGGAUGUGGAGUUCGGUUCGUGGAUCCAGCAACAGAGCAUGUUGAGUACCUUGUAAGAGAACCCGUGUUAACCUCGUAAGGAAAGAAAAAGCUCGACGAAGUAAUAUUACCUUGUUUACGGGUCCGAGGCAAAGGUAGUUCGUGUUGACAUCCUCGUACCGGAUAUGGUCCAUCACCAUGCCUAGAGCUCGAUCUCUUACCUUCGAGAAUGGCCAUCGCUUGAAAAGAGGUUCGACGAAUCCGUGCAGACAUUUCCAUAGGAUGUCUUGUAAGCGCGAAUGUGGGUAGUAUAAGUCCUCCUGUACGUCGACCCGACUAAUAUCUCACCAUUUUUUCAAAACAGAGUUGAGUUCUAUUUAUAAACAAACGUACCUUGGAGCA